rnacentral:lncRNA from 1 species
UAACACAGUGCUUGGCACAUGGAAAGAAUCCAGUGACUGUUAGCCACCAGUAUUAUGAUGAUGGCAAUGAUGAUGAUGUUGAUGGUGGCUGCUUGGUUAGCCUGAGUUCCAGAGUGAGGACAUCAUGAAGUAAAGAUCUCAGCUGACCCACAAUGGACAUAUAUUUCCUUAGAGUCUCAGGGAAGGCUUCUGGAAGAGGUGACAUCUAUACUGGGUGUAUUUUCAAGUGAAGAUACCGAGAGCCCAGUAUCACAGAGGAAGAAAGUACUGGUGGUGACACAGCAGAAGACAGCUGGAUUCUCAUAUCUGCUUCUGCAUUCAAAUUGCCACCGUAUCACAUCAUGUAACCUUUAGAAAAUUUCACUGUACCCUCAAGAGAAUGAGAAU